rnacentral:rRNA from 1 species
CACGGCAACGUGAUGAGACCACCACCUGUAACACUCGAGAGAAUCCACUAAACCUUAUCAUUUAGAGGAAGGAGAAGUUGUAACAAGGUUUUCGUAGGUGAACCUGUGGAAGGAUCAUUG